GGCGAGAUACUCAAGCCCGGCCCAAGAGGGUGGUCUCGAAAACCACUAUGCUAUGCAUGCGGGGGUUCAAAUCCCUCUCUCGUCA
rnacentral:tRNA from 2 species